GCUAAAAGCUGGGGUUCUCUUCCUGCUGCUAGACUUGCAUUGCUAUUUGUCUAGGCAGGCCAGCUGUCUCCAUGUUUGCGAAACGGGCUGCAUGAAAGCAACCUAAUUAUUUCUGGGGAUGUAACAAGCCCUGUACAUUCAUAAGUGUGGCUGUACCUAGAUGUGAUUGAUGUGCAGCAGCAGACUAAUGAACAGCUCAGGAAAAGGAUAUAUUAGAAUGUACAUUGAAAAGAAAGAAGUAAUGACAUCAUUAAGGAUCACAUCAGCAAAAGGUAGACUAAAAUAAGAAAGGAAAGUGAAAAGUUAAGGACAGAAUUAGCAGAAGGUGAUAAUGAAAAACUUCUAUUUUAUACUGAGGAAGACUUGCAGCUACAAAUAGACUAGAUCUCUCUCACCUGCAGAGUUUGAUUUGAUCUUGAGCAUCAGGAAGAGAAAUAUUGGAUUAUAUUGUAAACCUAGGUUAAGUUUCAAGGAAGAACUUACUUAAACCAGGAUUUUAUCAUUCAACCAUCAAUCAAAAUUGAUAAUAUGGGACUGGAGGUUUCACUUACCUAGACUCCACAAUCACCAACAAUCUGGCACUCAAUGCUGAAAUGAAGGCAUGGAUUGCAAAGGCUACAGCUUUUACAUCCAUGCUGAGUAAGAGGGUGUGAAACAACCACAACAUGACUGAGAACACCAAAACCAUAAGCCUACCAAGUCUGUUUCCUCAAUGAGUGUCUCUACAACAGGCAACAUAUGCAGGAAAAAAUGCAGAUUAUUUGGAAGUCAUUGGAAGAGGCAAAAAUAAAUGAAAAGCUCAGCAUGUGGAAAGAGGGUCCAGAGAAAAGCUAGACCUGUGAAUCCUACAUCUUCUCAGCUUCUGAAGUCUUCCUCUGCAACAAGUAUGAGAGAUUGCCCAAAAGAUCUAGGCUACUGAGCCACACUUAGUAAUGCUUAACACGGAGUUGACUACCAUGACACAAAUCAUUGCCUAAUGAGACAAAAGCCUACCAUUGUCUUCUUUGAAAGAGUAUCGUGGAGUCCUUUAUAUCUAUCAGAGUCUGUGGCAAGACUUCAGUUUAAUGUCUCAUCCAAACGGCAGCACCUCCAACAGUAUAGUAGUCCCUCAAUACUGCAUUGGAGAGUAAACCCUAGUUAAGGGGCACAUAUCCACCAACAUUCUGAAGUAGAGGCAAGAUUCCUAUUAAUAAAGCUAUGAUUGACACACAAUGCUAGAGUUAUCAUUGCAUAGAAACAACAGCAAGUCUAUAGUUGAUUAGAUAAACUGCUCAAUAAUUAAAUAAAUUGCUGUUUUUAGACAUUACCUGGAAAACAUUUUCUUUGCAAAUAAACAACAUGGAACAUGUGGACUGGUGGAAAAUUGGCCAAAAUCCAAACUGGGCGGAGAAUUUACCAAACCUGGAAAACAAUGGCAUGGGUAUAUGAGAGAUGCUAUGGGAAGGAAUAAUUAACCCCAUGAAAACACUAUUUAUCACUGUUCUCACAUAAGUCUGAGCACCUAAAAAAGAACUAGGCCACAACAAUAAUUGUUGCAUUUAUUGACAAAAUAAAAAACUUUUUUUUUGCA